rnacentral:lncRNA from 1 species
CUGUCUAACUGGAAGUUCACUGUUCCCUGGCUUGGGUCCCUAGGCUUCCUGCCUUGGAAGCGCAGCAGCAGGCUUCAUGGGAAGGUGAAGAGCUUCCCUAAGGAUGAACCUUCCAAGCCAUUCCACCUCACAGCCUUCCUGGGAUACAAGGCUGGUAUGGCCUACAUCAUGUGAGAAGCUGACAGCCCAGGAUCCAAGGUGAACAAGGAAGUGGUAGAGGCUGUGACAGUUGUGGAGACACCGCCCAUGGUAGUUGUGGGCAUUGUGGCUAUAUGGAAAUCGCUCAAGGCCUCCAGACCUUCAAGACUGUCUUUGCUGAGCACAUCAGCAAUGAAUGCAAAGGUGUUUCCAUAAGAACCGGCAUAAUCUAUAAAGAUGGCCUUUACCAAGUACUACAAGAAAUGGCAGAAUGAGGAUGGCAACAAGCAGCUGGAGAAGGAAUUCAACAGCAUGAAAAUGUACUGCCAAGUCAUCUCUAUCAUUGCCCAUACUUAGAUGUGCCUGCUUCCUCUGUGCCAGAAGAAGGCACGCCGAUGGAGAUCCAGGUGAACUGAGGCACUGUGGCUGAGAAACUGGACUGAGCCUGGGAAAUGCUAGAGCACCAGGUCCCUGUGAACCAAGUAUUUGGGUAGGACAGGGUAAUUGAUGCCAUUGAGGUGACCAAGUGCAAAGGCUACAAAAGGGGUCACCAGUCAUUGGCACACCAAGAAGCUGACCCACAAGACCCACCAAAGGCUGUGUAAGGCUCCUUAUAUCAGGAUGUGGCAUCCUGCCUGUGUGGCCUUCUCUGUGGCAUGUGCUGGGCAGAAAGGCUACCAUCACUGCACUGAGAAUAACAAGAAAAUCUGUAACAUUGGCCAUGGCUACCUUACGAAGGAUGAAAAAUGGAUCAAGAACAAUGCCUCCACUGAUGGUGACCUGUCCGACAAGAGCAUCAACCCUCUGGGUGGCUUUGUCCACUAUAAUGAAAUGAACAAUGACUUUGUCAUGCUGAAAGGCUGUGUGGUGGGAAUCAAGAAGUGAGUGCUCACCUCCGCAAGCCUUUGAUGGUGCAGACCAAGCGUCCUGCUCUGGAGAAGACUGACCUUAAGUUCAUCAACACUGUUUCCAGGUUUGGCCGUGACCACUUCCAGACCAUGGAGGAGAAGAACCACUAAAAAAGACCAGAUUGCAAAGCAAGAAGGAGCUUAA